UCCCCACUUACUUCCCCUUAUGUACAAAUUCACUUCCCCUUUGUCCUGGAUGCCCCUGGGGGAAAGUGGGGGUUGGGAUCAUGAAACCAGAGAUGCACAUGUCCCAGGAAGGCCUUGCAGCGAGCUUCCUGAGUCCCUGCUUCUUCCAGCUUUGCCUCAUUCUGACACCUAGGCCCCAUGCCCCAGGGAAGCAAAGCCCAGGGUCCUGCCCUCCUCUUCCAUUUAUAGCCCCUGCAAGAGCAUGCGCCCCAGCACUUCUGUUUCCACCUGCAGAGGCGGGGGUGUGUGUGUGUGUGUGUGUGUGUGUGUGUGUGUGUGUGUGUGUGUGUGUGUGAAGUGGAUGAUUUCAUCGUGCUGCUUGGUUGGGCCCCCCGCAGAAAUGCUCUAGGAUCAGGAGUGCUGAUGCAGAGGUUUAGAGCAGACAUCACAGACCAGCUGACAUCCCCUCCCACUGUUCCUGCAUUGACUCCUAGCUCUCCCCAACACUCUCCUGGGAUCCACUGCCGGAGAGAGAGAUCUACAGCACUUCCAUCUAGGUGGGCAUUUGUCAACAUGAACCCUCCUCCCAGGAGUUGAGAUGAAGUGUCCACUCACUGCGCACAUUGAUAGUUUCCUCUCUGCCCAUCUCUUCGGUGCCCCAGGAAAAGAUGGUCUGAGCACCCUGAAAGGGGAACAUGAGGACCCUGUCAAGAAGCCAUUUCUCCCAUGUUGUAGCUAGAUGAAAGUGAGUCCCAGGAUGGUUGGAACUGUCAUCCAGGAUGACAUCUGAGGAGUGGCAGUCUGUAACUUGAACUUCAGUUUGUCCUCAAGUCCCCCUCUCCCACCAGAGUAACCUGGAGGAGCAUCAUCAUGUCUGGGCCAUCUUUGCUUCUGGACAAGGGGCCAAAACUUCAGCGCCCACCAGCAGUGGACGCCCUGGUGAGCGGCUGGUCAGGGCGCCUGAGGGUUAAGAGUGAAUGAUUCCAAGCUGCUCUAGAAUUGGCCUCAGAAGAAAGUGAGAGAGCACUGACCCAGGAGGUUGUCUCCCUCCUGUUUGGCUCCUAAUGGCUGUGUCAAGACCCUGCCCUCAGGAAUCCUGCAGAAGACGAACUAAGAUGGAGGCUGGGGAAGGAUGCUGUGAGAUGCUGUCUUCCUUCGACAGGGCGUGGCUGCUGCAUUCAUGGACUCAGGAGCAGCUCUGCUUUACCUGCACACAUGCUGGAAUUAAAGGUGUGUGCCACCACAUCCAGCAAUAACAAGAAGAAUAGAAGGAGGAGGAGGAGGAGGAAGAGGAGGAGGAGGAAGAGGAGGAGAAGGAAGAGGAGGAGAGGGGAAGGCGACCACUAGGGAGUGUGGCAGAGUGCUUAUUUAGCAUGCACAGGCCCUGGAUUCAAUCCCCAGCACCACCACUACCUUCAUAAACCCAAAUCCCAGCCCACACAGAGACUGGAGCAGGCCUCUCAGGGGAGAAAGAAUCUCAGACUUUGGAAGAACUGGAGGGCAGUCAACUCAUGGUCCCACCUGGGCCCUGGUUAGCCUGGGGCGAGUGCUCCAUGUGUUACAGAGGUGGGUAGAUCUGGGUAACCACCCCUCACCUGCACCUCCCCCUGUGUGCUCCAAGGGGAACAGAACUGCAAAGUCAGACAGCUGGCAAGGGAUCCCACUCACCUGCAGAGCACCCCUAAGGCCUCCCGUUCCUUAGCAACGAACACCACCUGCUGAGGCCAGCCAGGAUCUUAGCACCCCUUUCCAGAGGUUCCACCACCCACCCACCCCCUCUUGCCCACCUGCCCUGGAGCUUGCAGGAACUGGAAAGGCACUGGGAGCAGCAGAUCACGGUCCCUGGAGAGUGCCACCCUGAUCAGGGUGAAGGCGUCUAAGUCUCUUCUUCGACUGUGUAUCACCAGAGCAGAGGAUGCCAGGGAUUCUGGCACACAACAUUUUCCUUCUCAUGCAGGGGCUUCAGGACAGUCUCACUGAGCCAUUUUACAAGCCCUUCCUUCCUAAGAACAACCUAUAAACUCGGGGAUUCACCAGGACAUCAGAAGACAAGCCACAGGCCAAGUGACACCCCGGAGACCUAAGAGCAGGAGAUGCAAGUACGAGAGCAGCUCCCUUUGAGCUGAGUUGAGGUUUGCUUUAUGUGUGGAUUUACUCUGCAGGUUCAACACCUCUUCCAUCCCAGGCCUUGAGUUGAGUCUCAUCCUGGGGCAAACGGACAAAAACAGAUCCCAAGGGUUGGCUGCCCUCUGCAGGGCAUGGAAGGAUAUGCACCGUCCUCUCUACCAAGACCUGGUUUCUGCACACUGAGGCUGGAAAGAGCCUGAGUGACUUGGAGCUGGAGAGCCAUGGCUGAGACGUUUCCCCAGGCAUUUGGAAUAAAUUUGGUUUGGUUUGGUUUAUUGAGUCUAUAGCCUAGGCUGGCCUCAAAUCGUGCAUCUGACUCCUGAACGCUGGCACUAUAAUUGUGUGCCACCAUACCCAGUUUAUAUAGCCAUAGAGCAUGUACCCAGGACUCGUAAGGCCCUGAGUUCAAUAUGCCCCCCAGAAGGGGGCAAGUGCAUGUGCGUGAGUUCAGGACACAUAGGAACUCAGAGCCACUGUACGAAUCUGUGACUAACAAGUCUCCACAAAACUCUUUAGUAGCAGCCGGGCAGUGGUGGCACACUUGGGAGGCAGAGGCAGGCGGAUCUUUGUGAGUUCGAGGCCAGCCUAGUCUACAGAAUGAGAUCCAGGAAAGGCGCAAAGCUACACAGAGAAACCCUGUCUCAAAAAACCAAAACAACAACAACAACAACAAUAAACUCUUUAGUAGCUUAAAACAGCACAAAAAUACUAGAGUGUGGGUGCUUGUCUGUAAUCCCAGCACUUAAGGAGAUGGAGGCAGGAGGAUUGCUGACAGUCAAGGCUACAUUGAAUUACACAGAGCUCUAGGCCAGGCAGGGCUACAGAGCAACAUCUUGUCUAAAAAAUUACAUACUUUCUUACAUUUCUAUGCUCCAGUUCUCCAGGGUAGGCCUCACGGAGUUAGAAGCAGGGUAGCAGGCUGUGCUGUCCGGCGGCUCAGGAAGGCUCUGGUUUUCUUGGUCUGUGGUUCUUUCAUCUUAAAGCCAAAGGUCCUCGCUUCCAGUCCUCUGUCUUCUCUCCACCUCUCCCUGAUCUUUCCAACUGACAUCAAAUUUCUCUAACUCUGAUCCACUUUCUCCUUUUUAUAAAGACCCUAGGAGGGUUGGGGUUGGGGCGGGGGCUAGGGCUGGGCUGGACUCGGUGGGUAGAAUGUUUUCCUUGCAUGCAUAAAGCACUAGGUUCAGCCCAGCAGUGCAUAAACCAGAAAUGGUAGAACAUGCCUGUAAUUCAGCACUUGGGAAGCAGAGGCAGGAAGAUCAGAAUUUCAGUGUCCUCCCAGACUACAAAGAGAAUUCAAGGCCAGCCUGGUCUACAGAGCAAGUUCCAGGCCAAACAGAUAUAUAGUAAGACCUCAUCUUUAAAAAGGGGGCGGCCCGGGACUUGAGUGAUGGCCCAGCAGUUAAGAGCACUUGUUGAUCUUGCAGAGAACGGGGGUUCAGUUCAAAACACCCACAUGGCAGCUCACAACUCUGUAACUCCAGUUCAGGGGAUCCAACACUCUCUUCUAACCUCUGUGGGCAAUGAACACACAUGGUGCACCUACAUACUCAUAUACAUAAACUAAAUGCAGCUCAUAAAAAAUAAAAUUUCAAGGAAGGCGGUGAUGAUGCACACCUUUAAUUCAAGCACUAGGGGGCUGGAGAGAUGGCUCAGAGGUUAAGAGCACUAGCUUCUCUUCCAGAGGUCCUGAGUUCAAUUCCCAGCAACCACAUGGUAGCUCACAACCAUCUGUAAAUGAGAUCUGGUGCCCUCUUCUGGUGUGCAGGCAAACAGAGACAGAAGAAAAAGUGUUUAUUAAAACAAAAAGGUGGGACAGGUGCUGGUGGUGGCAGAGGCACCCGGGUUAUGCAGAAAAAUUCUGCCUCAAAAAACAAAACAAAACAAACAAACAAAAACAACAAGGUGUAUGACACUUAAGUGACAUCCAAGGUUAAGGGCCUGCACACACACACACACACACACACACCACACCACACACACACACACACACACGUGCACGAGAAAAGAUCCAAUUCCCAAUGUCAAGCCCACUUUAGAGUUCUAGAUUGACCCUUGACAAAGAAGCAGCGUCUGGGCCACAGGGGAGGGAACUGGAGUUACGCUGUGCUCCCGAGUCCACAGGCCCCCUGGAAACACGGGACAACAGCUACACCAGUGUCCAGACUCCUGUGGGCAUCUCCACCACCCACGAGACUCUCUGAUCUCUCCGAUUCCCACUUCCCCGUCUCCUACAAGUGGCGCCGCCAGAAGCCCCACACUGUGCUCCCCACACUGUGCUCCCCACACCCUCCCAUCAUUACCUCCCCCAACACCUGUGACCACAGUCUUUUUUGUUUGUUGGUUUUUUGGUUUUUUGAGACAGGGUUUCUCUGCAUAGUUUUGGUGCCUGUCCUGAAUCUUGUGCUGUAAACCAGGCCCACCUGGCUCUGCUUCCCGAGUGCUGGGAUUAAAGGCGUGCUCCACUGCUGCCUGGCUGACCACAGCCUUUUUUGCUUGAUGUAAGCAUUAAAGGUUCAUCAUUGCCUUGAAAUAUUUUCAAUCUCAUUCUUCUUCUAACGAAAUGAAAUCCACUCUGUGACCCAGGUCAUUUUUUAUCUCUUCAGGGAGACCUUUCGGAGGCAGGCUCUAUCUUCUCAUCUCCAGGCAAAGUGUUAGUACUUGCAGGCAUGUCUGGCUUUAAAUUGGUUUCCCCCUGGGACACCUUGCAGUUUCCAACAUGCAGCAUCGAGGACUCUGCAUGCAAAGGCACAGGCCAUCAACCAGCACCAGACCUGGAGGCUAUCAGUCUUUUAGCAUCAUGGCCUGGGGCUGGGCCUCAGGGGAUUCUGGGAAAUUCAACUGUGAGGCAGACCUCCCCCUCAGUGGGUAACAUCAACCCCAAGUCUACCGAAACUGCAACACAGCACAGCUCAAGGCCAGCCUGGGCAAUGUGGUGAGAUCCUGUCCCCAAAUCAAAAGUAAACAAAGCCAGGUGUGAGGGUGCACUCAUUCUUGGAAUACCAGCACCUUGCUGUUGGAGGCAAGACGAUCAGGACCUCAGGGGCAUCCUCUGCUAUGUAGCAAGUUCAAGACCAGCCUGGGCUACACGAGACACUCCUCAAAAAGAGAGACAGGAGGUGGGGAAGGAGAGAAAGAAGAAAAUAAAGAUGAAAAGUAGCCUAGGGAGCCUGACACGAAGCGUGAAGACCUGACUUCUGGCCUCAGAACCCACGUGGAAAAGCCAAGCACAGGAGCUGGAGAGAUGGCUCAGUGGUUAGGAGCACUGGCUGUUCUUCCAGAGGUCCUGAGUUCAAUUCCCAGCAACCACAUGAUGACUCACAACCACCUGUAAUGAGAUCUGGGGCCCUCUUCUGGCCUGCAGGGAUACAUGCUGUAUACAUAAUAAAUAAAUCUUAAAAAAAAAAAAGACAGAGAUCCUGUGUCUUAGUCAGAGUUUCUACUGCUCUGAAGAGACACCAUGACCAUGGCAACUCUUAUAAAGGAAAGCAUUUAAUUGAGGUGGCAGCUUACAGUUCAGAGGUUCAGUCCUUUAUCAUCAUGGCAGGGAGCACAGUGGUGUGCAGGCAGACAUGGUGCUGGCUACAUCUUGAUCAGAAGGCAACAGGAAGUGGAAUGUGACACUGGGCGGUAUCUUGAGCAUAGGAAACCUCAAACACACACACACACACACACACACACACACACACACACACACACACACACACACACACUUCCUCCAACAAAGCCAUACCUACUCCAACAAAGACACACUUCCUAAUAGUACUAUUCCCUGAGCUUAUGGCGGCCAACUCUACAUUCAAACUCCUACACCUGGUGAACCUCUCUUGACACCCCAAGUGUGACAGUUAAUUUUCAACCUGAUUAAAUAAACACACCAGGCAUUUAUCUAUUUAGUGAGACACAACUCUGGGUGUGUCAGAGAAGACACUUAAACUGGGUGUGGACAGCACAGUCCCAUGGCCUGGGGGCUGGGCUAGAUGGGGACAGAGGAGAAAGCCAGCAGAGGAUGAAUACCUGCCUUCUGAGCCACCUGGAUGUGAGCCAGCAGCUUCACACUCCUGUCUCCAUGGCCAGGAGUGCCUCCCAAUUACAUGACCCCCUAAAACCUUGAGCCAAAACGAGCCCUUGCUCCCUUGAGUUAUCUGGUCACAGAAAGGAGAAACCCAGUGAAAACAGCUGCUGCACAUACUUCACACACACACCUGCUGCACAUAUUUCACACACACACAUAUGGGGGUGUCCUGUUUUAACUCAGUAUGCUCCCGCCCCAUCUACAAUGAGUCAUACAGACUUGGCUUUCAGCUGCUGUAACAACUGUCCCAGCAGAGCUCUUUCAAAUGCAAAACCCAGAGAAUUAAUCCAAUAAAAAGGAAAAAGGCAAUCAGGCUCAGAAUGUAAACAAAAAAGACUGAAGGAUGAGGCAGGAGCUGAGGCCAUUUUCAGGAAGACCUUUGAAUCGAAAUGAAGACUAAACAAGAAAGGCCCAGAUGAGCCUCGUCAGCGUUAGUCUUCCAGAUUGCAAUCAGCUCUUUCAAGUCCCUGGCUCCGUUCCCACAAAACUGGGCGGAACUACUUCUGACAAGGGCAUCAGACUUGCCAGACUUAAACUAACGCAGAAAAACCAGGAAGCCAGGCACCGCCACCAGAUGCACAGGGAGGUGCGUGCCUCUUCACACCACCUGCAGGGAAGCUGAAGAGAAUUAAGUGGGCCAGCAGCCAGAGCAGCAGCUUCUCCACAAACUUCCCACCAUUAAAAGGGUCAGGAGGAGGCCGGAUAGAUGGCUCAGUGGCUAAGAGCACUCACUAUCCUUCCAAAGGACCUAAGUUCAAUCCCCAGCACCUACUCACACUCCAGCUACAGAGGAUCUGAUGACACCUUCUGACCCCAGCAGGUACUUGGACACACAUUCACACACACAAAUCAAAACUUUAAAGAUAAAAUCUCGGGCCAGUGGGAUGGCUCAGUAGGUGAACGUGCCUGCUGCCAAGCUGGAGGCCCUGAGCUGGAUCCCCGGGACCCACAAAGCAGGAGAGAAGUAAUUCCUACAAGUUGUUCUCCGACCUCCAGGCACCCACUGUGACAUGCACCUUCCACCACACACAUAAGUAAAUACAAUUAAUUUAACUUAGUACUGCUUGCUAUUGUUCAUCGGUACAUUUUUUUUUAAAGCAUGCCUUAGGUCCUGGAUUUCAUCCCCAGCAUAAUAACAACAAUAACAUGAGUAACAAUGAGGUAUUUGUAAGAGAUAUGUUUCAAUAUCUCAUUUUGUUUUGUUUUGGAGACAGGAUUUCUCUGCAUAGCUAUGGUUGUCCUGGAACUCUCUCUGUAGACCAGGCUGGCCUCGAACUCAGAAAUCUGCUUUUCUUUCUCUCUCUCAAGUGCUUGGAUUAAAGAUGUGUGCCACCAAGCCUGACUUUGAUAUUGCUUUUUAAGUAUUUAAUUUUUAUUUUGUGUUACAUGAGUGUAAGCAGGUGUGGUGGUUUGAACGGCCCUCCUUAGCUUAUAGAUUAGAAUGCUUGGUCACCAGCAUAGGAGGUGUGGCCUUGGUCUUGUUGAGGUUUCAAGGGCUCAAGCCAGGCCAGUGUAUUCCUCUUCUUGCUGCCUUUGGACCCAGACAGAGAACUCUCAGCUGCCUCUCCAGCACCAUGUCUGCCUGCAUGCUGCCAUGCUUCCCACCAUGAGGAUAAAGGAUUAAACCUCUGAAACUAUAAGCCAGCCCCAGUGAAAUGUUUUCCUUUAGAAGAGUUGCCAUGGUCAUGGUGUCUCUUCACAGCAAUAGAACACUGACUGGGACAGAAAGCCAGACGCCAGCAUUUCAUCCUCCAGUGCUGGAGUUACAGGUGAUUGUGAGUUGCCUGGUGUGGGUGCUGAGAACUGGACUUUGGUCCUCUGGAAGAGCAGCAAGCACUCUUAAGUGCUGGAACAUAUCUCCAGCCCCUGACUUUUCUGGUUUGUUUGCUUAAAACAACAAAAACAAAACAGCAUUGUCUACUUACUUUGCAUGCCCAAAUAAAGAAGCUGCAACAGUUAUGUUA